GACGAACCGUGCGAACGUUGUUCGGAAUCACUGGGCUUAAAGGGCGCGUAGGCGGCUCCGAAAGUCCGGGGUGAAAGCCCCCAGCUUAACUGGGGAAGUGCCUCGGAUACUGCGGAGCUCGAGGGAGGUAGGGGCGGAUGGAACUUCCGGUGGAGCGGUGAAAUGCGUUGAUAUCGGAAGGAACGCCGGUGGCGAAAGCGAUCCGCUGGCCCUCUACUGACGCUGAGGCGCGAAAAGCCAGGGGGAGCCAAACGGG
rnacentral:rRNA from 1 species